AAGAAAACAAACACAUUGCAGCUAAAAUGCUUUUCAUUUUUAUUUAUUUGACCUUUUCAUUUAACUUUCUAUGGCAGUUGAAACUUGACAGUUUAAAACUAUUCCAAAAGGUUGAGGGACAUGUUUUCCAUUGAGUGCAGUUGUGCACCUGAAGCAAAAUAAAGCCACCCUGAUUUGGACAGAAGUAUUCACCUCUUAGUCAAGUUAUGAGUUAUUCAACUUAUUAUAAUGCUGUAAAGCAGGGGUCCCCAACCACAGGUCCGCCAACCAGUGGCGGUCCGAUAGCCACACGGUUCCGGUCCAUCAGAGAAAAAAAUAUAUAUUAGGGCUGUCAAACGAUUAAAAUUUUUAAUCGAGUUAAUUACAGCUUAAAAAUUAAUUAAUCGCAAUUAAUCCCAAUUCAAACCAUCUGUAAAAUAUGCCAUAUUUUUCUGUAAAUUAUAUAUAUAUUCUGUAAAAUAAAUUGUUGGAAUGGAAAGAUAAGACACAAGAUGGAUAUAUACAUUCAACAUACGGUACAUAAGGACUGUAGUGGGCAUUUCACUCUACUGUCAUUUAAAUCUGUCUAUGCUGUCCUCACUCCGAAGCGUCUACUUUUUCCAAAGCUAGACAGCUAGUGAACGACGCCUUAAUAAUUAGACUUCUUGCUUUUUCAUCUGAUUUAUUAAUAAAAUGGCCUCAAACCAUUGUCCUCUUUAGACCGUCGUAAAACUACAAAAUAAAAGCACACAAGCAUUGCAUUAGCAACAACGUUAGCUUAGCACGCUAUACAGGUUCACUAAACAUAAACAAAAAGCGUCUCAUACAAAAAAUAUAACAUUUCGCUUACUAACAUAAUAUGUACAUUCUUUACAACAACCAUACUUACGGACAAAUCUUGUCCAAGGAUCAUAUAAGCACAACAUUAUCAGCCCGAGACGUCGUGCAGCCAUAAUGAACUGGCAAGAAAAUAAUAAACCAUGUCGCAAAGCCACCACAAGAGUUCGCUGUUGGACAGCACAAAAAGCCUUGCUGUAAAACUUACCAAAAGGCAGAAUACUUUCUGAGCGGGACAUGUGCGUUAAUUGCGUCAAAUAUUUUAACGUGAUUAAUUAAAAAAAUUAAUUACCGCGCAUUAACGCGAUAAUUUUGACAGCCCUAAUAUAUAUAUUUUUGUUUUCAACCCUUCGCACACGGGAUCGGGAACCGACGGUGCGCUGGACCUCAGGGUUGCCGGAUCAGUCUCAAAGUCAGUCUCAAGCCCAAUCUCAAUGUAAAUAUAGCCCGCCCAGUUCAGCAAGAACCCACCCAAUCUGUCAAGACACUCAGAAACUCUUUUUCUUUUCGUAGCAGUGCCAACGGUGCAAGUGAAUAUUUUUUUUGCAGGCCCCUCCGGAUGACCGGACAAGUGGCUGGCAGGGAUAUUUUAUCAUUGAGGCUAUGUCUAAACUAGGACGGAUAAUGGCGUUAAACGUGAUUAGUUGGACUACACGGCAUGUCGGCUACACUAGUAUGCCUAUUAUCCGGAUUAGUUGUUAGACGGAUAAUGUAGGCGGGUAAUAUUACCCGCUGCUUAAUAUGGACUGCUGUCUCUGUACAACAAUCGGAUACUAACGAAGUGUCGUCAUGCCGUCUUCAUUUUUAGUGUGGCAUGACGGCAUCGUAAACAAUGGAGGCAGACGACCACGAUGUGGCAUUCCCGCUCCUCUUUUCUUUUCCACACAUUUUUCUUGAACCUUCAAACUACGUCUCAAUAAUAUGCUUCAAUUCAGUGCCCAUUUGUGGUCCUCCCAUCGCGGAUGACGCGGAGAUGAGCGUUUUUUACCGAGCUCGUCUCCCGAGUUGUCUCCAAUCAGCCAGCUGUGGAGCUUGCCCCUCCCAACUCAAUGCCGACUGAUCAUGAGUAUAUAAAAAUGCAUAGAGGAAAGUUAAACCUCAAAAAGUGACCUGCGUGUUACCCCGAGUCAAAGAGGUGCACGAUCAGUUUUUUUCCAUGACAUUUCUGCCUGUCAAAACUGUCGCCACUUCCAGGAUCGCCACUGUUAUGCACAAGCACUCCUGGUUGCGGCUUCCAGGAAAUAUAUGCAGCGCCGCACCGUAUGCUUCUAUUUGUUAUUUCCCAAGUGGUGAGAGCGCAACUGAGCAUCGAUUGUAUCAUCCCAAGUAACGAAGUCAGGCUGUCGUUGUUUUCUAAAGAUUUAUUUCAAUCACAACUCGGCGACUGCUCGUAACUGCUCCCUUCACUCUCGCUCCUGUGUGAUGCGUUCAAUUGCGUUCACGAAAAAACCAGUGAUCACAAAAUAAUGACAGUCUAGAGGGUGUAGUAAUUUCGAAAUUUGCCGCCGGCGAGUAAUGAGUUUCCGGUUCAGAGCUAAAUCGCACGGGCGAUGACGUGACAUAUGAGGCUGCUCCUUGCCACACAUGUGUAGUUUGCGCAAAUGCAGGCGUACCUUGCAGAAGCGGGGUGCUUAAACGCUCUUAAACGUAAGUGUGGACAGGUAUGUUGGACCCUCCCCUCGCCCAACCAUGCCCACUUUACACCCGCAAACCGGAGGCCUUAGAGGCCCGGGCUCAUGUGCUGCCACACCCCCAGUGGCCCCCUAAGUUCUGCCCUGCAUCCGUGCAUGUGACUUGUGCCACGGUGAGGUAUGUUUUUAGCCGCUGUGCCCCCCAACUGUCAUUGGCGCCAUGUCUUUCCCCAUUCACAGGGUAUGUUGGUCGAGAAGCUUAAACACUUUGUUUUGGUUUCCUGAGCUUUGGGACGUUUGAAAAGUGGCUCAACCAAUUCUCACCAAAACCUGUAUACAGUAUGUCACCCUCGUCUUUGAAAUAAUAAAAGUCUUGGCUUUCGUGUUUGCGUUUCGCUUGCCGUCGUUGUGCACCUUGCCCCACACAACCACAAACAAUACGUGGCUUUUUUGUGCAAUAAUGACAAAUAAAUGCACUCGUGAUUUUUUUUUUUGGGCUGCAACAAAGACUGCCUUUGGCCUAUGUACUAGAGGUAAGCUCGGGCCUAAAAAAUCCAGCCCGACCCGGCCCGAGCCCAAUCAAUGAACUCGAUUUGCAGGCCCGAGCCAGAAACAAACCCGAAAUAUUAUGUUUUAUUUGUGAGGACUCAGGUGAAGGAGGAAAGGUAGGUGAUGUGUCAGUCAUACCUGCCAGUCUUUCUGCUCUUGUAUGAGAGCAUAGUGCCACAUUUGUUACAUUCAGCGAAGCCGACACAGGUUUCUGUAGCAUCUUCAACAAUCAAUUUGAAGCCUUUGCACAUUCCACUCUUACCAGUGCGUGUUUGUCUUUUCAAUUCCCCCGUCUUUCGUUUGUUUUUAAAUUCUUGCUGCUCCAUAUCGAAAUACCAGGUCAAAAAUCUGUGAUGGAUGCGGAGGGGGAGAUUAAAAAGAGGGCGGGGCCACGGCGUUGCACGCAAUUACUAUACAGCGCCUUCCCUGUUUUAUCCAAAUUAUUCAUUUUUAUAACAAGUAUUUCUUAGUUUAACAUCCAUACAUCGUUUUAGUAUACAUGAUAUGGUAAAUGGUGUUAUAUAAAUAUAUGGUAAUAGCCCCGGAAGGGGAGGAAGGAGAGGACUCGGUAUUGGCUUACCCACAUUAUUGUGGCAACAAUAAUAAAGAAAAACAACAACAAAAUAACAGCAGGCGCGACGGACCGCUCACUUUCGCUGGCCUGCCCGUUCUCUCAUUCUCUCCACUCGCUUCCCGCUACAUCACAGCUCCACAGUCCAGUCAUCUCUUAACACUAGUGACGCGCUUAGUUGCGAACAUUGCAAUAUAUUCAUUAAAAAAAAGUUAGCGAGAGAGAAGCCCGGCCCGAACGUAAUAAUUGACAUUUUGGGCCUGAUUUAGGCCGGAUUGGGUUCGGACUCGGGCUUAAGAGCUUACCUCUACUUGGUACCGCUCUACCUCUCCCCAGUCCGCGAGAAAUAAAAAAUAGCUUUACCGAACGUGAUGACAAAAAAGUUGGGGAUCACUGCUGGAACGGUCCUCUCCACAAUAAUAGUAUUGUCACCAUUCUGAUAAUGUUAUCAACGUAUGAGUUUAAUUCAUUAGCUGCCAUUCAAAUAGUGCUGCAACGAUUAAUCGAUUAACCCCAGUAAUUUGUUUCUAAAAAAGCUUCGAAUCGAAUUUUGUUGCUUCGAGGAUUUGUUUAGAAUGGCAUUGUAACGAUUUGUUGUAAGUGUUUGCAUUUAGUUUUAUUGAUUCGAGUGGAUACACUGCCCUUUAGUGUCGACAGUGAAUAUGACAUACUCAUUUAACAUGGCUGAAAUCAGCUGCUCCAUGUUAAGGCCAUCAUAAGGUUUUUGUUUGAGCUAAUAUGCUUUUUUUUAAUGUAUUCAUAAUUUAUUUUAUACAUAUAUUUAGCAGUUUGUUUCUUGGAAUAUGUGUUUGAACAUUUUGUUAAAAGCAUUGUAAAAAAAAAAAAUGUAAGCAUUUUAUAGCAUUUAGGAUAGCUGACUUUUGCUAUCCUAUAAUGUUCUUUUGUUGCACUUAGAUCUUCAUUUAUUUCUUUUUUUUCAAUACCGUUUGAGGCUAAGCUCAGGUAUUUUAAUUUAUUUUUAAAUGCAUUCAUUGCUCUUAAGAAAUGGAAGUGCAAUUCUGCAUAGUUUGAAGAAAUACUAAUGCUCUUUUGGAAGUGCAAUCUUAGCAAGCCUUUUUUGUACAUCUCCUAAAAUUCAUUCUGCAACAAAUUUCAAUGUUCCUAAUCCGAUUACUCGUUUAUUCAAACAAACUAAUUCAUAGAUUAAUCAAUUUCAGACCGAUGGAUGUGUUUUCCAAUAUAUUUGGUCAUAUGGAUAUUUAGUAUCAAUUUUAAGAAUCUUUAGAGAUUCAAGUAAUAGAACUAAACAAAACGGAUUAAAAAAAAAAAUUAUAACUUUCUGUCCAAUGUAAUUUCGACACCCCCCACAUUCACUCCCACUUAAAAUGACUAAAAUCACAUACAGGGGUACCACAUCAGGUGCACAUGAGAGAAUACUAUUACCCAGUGUUUUGAAGGAUGCUUGCCUUAUUUAAACCUCACAUUUAGUUUGGUGUGCCCCUGACUGUUGAGGUGAGAUAAAACACCAUGGUGAGAUCAAAGGAGCUGUCUGAGGCCUUCAAAAAGAAGAUUGUAGACGCUUAUGAGUCUGAUAAGGGAUUUCAAAAGAUCUCCAAAGAAUAUAAAAUCAGCCAUUCCACUCUCCGGAAAAUAGUCUACAAGUGGAGGACAUUCAAAACAACUGCCAACAUGCCCAGGUCUGGCCGUCCAAAAAAGUUCUCCCUGAGAGCAGAUCGCAAGAUAUUAAAAGAAGUCUCCAAAAACCAUGUCAUCACGGGACCUACAGCAGGCUCUUGUUACUGUUGAAAAUGCGUGUCUCUACAAUCAGAAAGAGACUUCACAUGUUCAUGGGAGAUGUGCAAGGACGUAAUCUUUGCUCUCCAAGAAGAACAUGAAGGCCAGGCUGCAGUUUGCCAGAGUGAAUGUAGAGAAAGACCAGGACUUUUGGAAGAAUGUUAGUUGGACAGAUGAAUCUAAAAUUGAAUGAUUUGGACACCAGAACAGAGCACAUUUUGCGUAAACCCAAAACAACAUUCCAGAAAAAGAACCUCAUACCAACUGUGAAGUAUAGAGGUUGAAGUGUCAUGGUUUGGGGUUGCUUUGCUACAGCAGGACCUGGCCAGAUCACCAUCAUUGACUCCACCAUGAAUUCUAUCGUGUUUUAGAAGUUGCUUGUGGAACAUGUGAGAUCAUCUGUGAAAAAAUGAAAGCUGAAGCGAUACUGGACCCUGCAACAUGACAUUGACCCAAAACGUACCUGUAAAUCCACCAAGGACUGAAAAAGAAGAAAGAGUCCUGGAAUGGCCGAGUCGAAGCCCAGAUCUUGAUCCCAUUGAGACGCUGUGGGGUGACUUGAAACGGACUGUACAUGCAAGAAACCCCCUUAAACAUUUAACUGUUGAAAGUAUUAUGCGUUGAGGAUGGGAGCAAACUUUCUUCAGACCGAUGUCCAAGACUGGUAGAUGGCUACAAAAAGCAUCUCAUUGAAGUUAUUUCAGCCAAAGAGGGUAACACUAGCUAUUAGGUGGUGGGGUAUCCUAACUUUUUCCUCAGUUAGAAUAUGCAUUAUUGUUAACCCCUUAACGCCGAAUGUCGCGAUUCGGCAUCAUACCGUUCCCGCUUUAAAAGCGGCCAAAAUAUCGUCUGCCUUUGUUCACUGCCGGUACAUUAAUGUCAAACACAUGCCUAGGAACCUUUUUCAAGCAUUAGUUUCAGUCGUGUCCGACCAGAGACAACACCGCUUCCUUUUCCGGACCGUGAUAUUCAAGAUGAAAGCCACGUCGAAGUCCUGCGCACCAACUUGACUAAUUCAUUCAAUUCAAGAAAUACAAAUGAAUGCAGCAGCUUUUUACGCAAAGCUAGCACACCGGGCCAAACCACCUCCUGUUGAGAGUGCUCUCAGUGAGAGUGAGGGCAGCGAUGAGGAGUACAAUCCUAAUAAAGCAAGUGAAGGUGAUGAAAGCAGCAGCAAUGACUCUACAGUGGACAUUAGCAGCAGUGAGGAAGAUGAUGAUGAUCCGCCUCAUCCACCUCCAACCACCAGUGCUGCACCUGCAAGACCUUCAAGAGCUACAUCAAGGGCAGAUCGAGCCUAAAGCAAUAUAUCCAAAAAAAAGCCAUACAAAUUGGGAUACAAGAUUUUUGUACUGUGCGACAUAAGAGGUCUGGUGCACUCAUUUGACAUAUUCACAGGGAAAAUAGAUCCGGUACCAGGCCAACCAGACAUAGGAGCCAGUGGUAACAUUGUGCUCAAGCUUGCACAAGUCAUUCAUCCUGCUGUUCUUUGAUAACUGGUUCUCAUCUGUAGAUCUGUUUGUUGCUCUUGCAAAAAAGGGCAUACCUGCACUUGGGACCGUGCAGCACAAUCGCCUGCGUGGGUGCUGUUUCAGUGCAGACUCAUAGAUGAAGAAGAAGCGAAGAGGGACAUUUGAAGAGCAAGAGGCUCUUGUGGACAAUGUCUGCAUAAGAGCAGUCAAAUGGUUUGACAAUAGAGGGGUGAUUGUUGCCAGCACAUUUGCCAGUGCCCUGUCUGUUAUGAUAAAAAUCAUCUUUUAUUUAUUUAUCUACAUCAUAUGUCUUCUAGUCUGAUUAAAAAUGUGAUGUACAUCUGUGUUUAAACAAAAACAAUAAUUGUUUUUCAGAAUUUCACAAGCAGUGAAAAAAGAUGUUGCGAUAAAAGUGUGUUCAGACCUGA